GCCAAAAGCGCAGAAGAACAAAAAUGACCGGGAAAAUCUGACAGGACUGAGAUGAUGACAACAGCACAGCGGGGUUUUAGAAGCCCAUCAGAGUGAUUUUCUGAGUUCUUUCACAUGCUGUAUGGUCAGCGAAUGGAUGGAUUAUCCAGUCAAGGUACAGAAUGAAAGACUUGACUGAGUUAGAAGAAGCUGGGCGACUCUUCAGAGUAAAGAUGUUAUGUGCCUGCUUUCGAACCACACCCGUGGAGAUAUCUGCCAACAAAUGGACAAUCAUUCAUGGGGCUACAGAUGGGGCUGCAUUCAAGAAUUUUCAAUAUGCAGUUAUGUCAAAGCACUCGUUUCGGCUGGCCAGAUUGGAACAGACCUGAAUGGGAAGAUGGCAGAGCUAAGACUGACAAUGUCCAGGAAAAAUGUUAACUAAAAAUGAGUGUUUUUCCUCAGCGAGUGAGUUUGGGAAUGUUUUAAAUGUGCCUAAAAGUUUGAAAAUGUAAUACUGAGGGAAAAAAGUGAGCGCUUUGAAAAGGCUUUAAAAAGAAAAUAAAGUCUGAAGUUGAUGGUAAAUGAAUUUAAAGUUUUUACUUGAAAAGUUUGUACUUGUUUGUACUUGUCAAGUCUGUGCUGAAAAAAAUGGAGUAAAGUUUGUAUUUGAAAAGA